CGGGAACUGGAGUCGCGCUGAAGUGCGCCACCAGGGGACGCCCGGGAGCUGCCGACUGGACCCAGAGUCUCCGCGACCGGGGGCGGGCCGGGCGGGGCGGAGCCGAGCUGCAGUUCCUUGGAGGCCCCGGAGAGGAGAGUUUACAUGUCUUGUUGAAUCUCAACACGAAGUACAGUCUCUUAAGCUCUAGAGUGUUCCAGCGGCUUGUAGUCCCGUGGCCGUCGGGUAAGCCCAAUGCUGGGCUGGAUCCCAGGACGCUGGCUGGGAUCAUGACGUGAACGGAAGGCGGGCGCUUAACCAGCUGAGCUACCCAGGCGUGCUAAAUGCAUCUUAUUAUAAGCCACACGAUCACACGAUGGAUAUGUUUACAUCUUAAGCCGAUAGUCAUCUUACACUAAAGGGUAAAGAAAUCCAAUAAAUCGAACUUAA